GCUGACGAGUGGCGGACGGGUGAGUAAUGUCUGGGAAACUGCCUGAUGGAGGGGGAUAACUACUGGAAACGGUAGCUAAUACCGCAUAACGUCGCAAGACCAAAGAGGGGGACCUUCGGGCCUCUUGCCAUCGGAUGUGCCCAGAUGGGAUUAGCUAGUAGGUGGGGUAACGGCUCACCUAGGCGACGAUCCCUAGCUGGUCUGAGAGGAUGACCAGCCACACUGGAACUGAGACACGGUCCAGACUCCUACGGGAGGCAGCAGUGGGGAAUAUUGCACAAUGGGCGCAAGCCUGAUGCAGCCAUGCCGCGUGUAUGAAGAAGGCCUUCGGGUUGUAAAGUACUUUCAGCGGGGAGGAAGGGAGUAAAGUUAAUACCUUUGCUCAUUGACGUUACCCGCAGAAGAAGCACCGGCUAACUCCGUGCCAGCAGCCGCGGUAAUACGGAGGGUGCAAGCGUUAAUCGGAAUUACUGGGCGUAAAGCGCACGCAGGCGGUUUGUUAAGUCAGAUGUGAAAUCCCCGGGCUCAACCUGGGAACUGCAUCUGAUACUGGCAAGCUUGAGUCUCGU
rnacentral:rRNA from 1 species